GGAAGCUCCAGCUAUUGAACUGGGAACAGAAGUAAUAGCACCUGAUAGUAGAUGAUGACCCACAUCACAAACGGUUACCAAAAGUUGUGAUUGUGUUUCCAUGUGCUCAAGUGAGAUAACUAGAAAACAGAGUUCAGGAUCUUCUUCAGCUCUUGAUAUCCCCAAGCUAAAAACUUUGCUAUGGAAGGUUGGCUUUUUUUCCUGUAGUGUAAUGGGGAAUCCUUGCUUGCAUCAGUGAUGCUCUGAAGGGAAGAAUAUUAAGGUCAUGUUUUCCUUGUAUGUGUGGGACUCCAAGGGAGGCAAUGUUGGCAGUGCUUGGCAAAGGGAGGAGAUGGUGGUUUACAGUUAGUUUUGCAAAUGGAUGAGAACAGAGCCAAAAAUUCUGUUUGUUUUUAGGGCUUUUUUUUUUUUUUUAACCUCAAAAGGUAUGACAUAUGACAGUGUCUAGCAGGGCAGUACUGUGUAAGGCUGGACAUUUUUAAAGCAGUUUUAGGUUUCCUGAAAAUACUAAGAACUUGUAAUACAAGUAAAAGUAAUUUCUUUAUAACUGUUCAUUUUCCACCGUCUUAAAAUGCGGUCUCUUGAGAGAGAGACUAAUUUCAGGUACACUUCAAGGUUGGACUCAAUGAAAACAAAUUUUAAAGCAGUGGAUGGUGCAAUUAAAUUAACUCCCUCUUCAUGCAAAAAGUGGAAGCUCCACAAAACCCUACAAAGUAAACUGACUGCAAGUCCUCAAAUAUCUAGUCAGUGUAAUUUAAUACAAACAAACACCACCCCCCACCUUUUAUCACUCUAAACAACUAGUAAUUCUUUUUAAAUCUUGGAACCGCACAAAGCACUUCUGGACAAAUUCCAUUUCAGUAAUUAAUGCUUUGUGCUCUAAUAUAAUAAUAAUACAUAGCUCCCUCUGUUCACCUGCAAACAUAGAAUCCAAUAAACUCAGAUCUGAAAGUGUGGAAAGUCUAGCUUCUUUCAGGCAUCUUGGUGAUGUGCGUUUUAGUACAUUCCUGCAGGAAAGAUCUUGAGCUUUAGGUCCUUUAAGUUGUGCAUUACAAAGGGUUUCGUUGUUGUACUAUAUAUAACUAUCUUAUUUUCUGCUUCAUUUCCUACCUUCCAAUUUAGCAUUCCUCAUAUUAAAGAGAGCUCUACUCCUGCCUCCAAAACCACGUUACUUAAGCUCUGUGCUUUCUUUCAUUCACCAGUGGUCUAUCAUGCAAGUAAAAUUUCCAUAGAUUGAAACUAUUGAUGACUUCUCUACAAUGUAGCACAGGGAUUAUCCAUGUAAAAUCAAAG